CCCGCCCCAGGGGCCAUGGUGGGGGGGGGGUGUCAGAAAUGGAGGAAGGGGCUGCAAGUCCGGGAUUGGGAUAGGCGCUCAGCCCCCAGCACCUUCCCCUCCCACGGCUGGCCGCGGGGCAGUGGGCUUCCCCGGGCCCCAGGAGCGCUCCUGCUUUGUGCUGAUCUAAGUCACUUAUGCUAUCUGAAUAUUUUUAUUGUUUUUUCCAAGAGGGCUACAAAGGACAAACUGAAGGAUCUGACAUCAACGUACCGCGGCCCUGGACUCCCGAUCAAUCCUCUCCUGCACCUGCCAUUCGCUGAGGGCCGUUCCAAGCCUGGUUUCUGCCAAAAGCAAACCCCGGAGAUGAGGAGAUCAAAGGUUCAAGGCCUCUGUAUGGCGUUCCCAUGGAAGCCCAAGUGACUCCCGCCUCCAACGUCUGUCUGUCCCUUCUGUCCGCGGAAACCUCAGUGUGGCCAAUCUGAUGGGGAGUAAAGUGAAGUCAUCAUGCCAGUUCCUCUGCCCAUGACCUGGGGAUGACCCAAGGGGACACGGGGGCCUGUGUAGAGACAAUGGGACCAGCAGGAUGGAGACGGAAAGCAAUAGGGCCUCACUACCACACACAAACUUGACAUGUUCUAUUGUAACCCUCCCACGUAGGCGUUAUUUCCAGCUGCGGAGACUGAG